rnacentral:rRNA from 1 species
GUACACUCCUGCGGGAGGCAGCAGUGGGGAAUAUUGCACAAUGGGCGCAAGCCUGAUGCAGCCAUGCCGCGUGUAUGAAGAAGGCCUUCGGGUUGUAAAGUACUUUCAGCGGGGAGGAAGGCAAUACGGUUAAUAACCGUGUUGAUUGACGUUACCCGCAGAAGAAGCACCGGCUAACUCCGUGCCAGCAGCCGCGGUAAUACGGAGGGUGCAAGCGUUAAUCGGAAUUACUGGGCGUAAAGCGCACGCAGGCGGUCUAUCAAGUCGGAUGUGGAAUCCCCGGGCUCAACCUGGGAACUGCAUUCGAAACUGGCAGGCUUUAGUCUUGUAGAGGGGGGUAGAAUUCCAGGUGUAGCGGUGAAAUGCGUAGAGAUCUGGAGGAAUACCGGUGGCGAAGGCGGCCCCCUGGACAAAGACUGACGCUCAGGUGCGAAAGCGUGGGGAGCAAACAGGAUUAGAAACCCUGGUAGUCCCAUGA